rnacentral:rRNA from 1 species
UGGGAAGUAUUGCGCAAUGGGCGAAAGCCUGACGCAGCGACGCCGCGUGAGGGAUGAAGGUUUUCGGAUCGUAAACCUCUGUCAGAAGGGGAAGAAGUUAUGCCGUCCUAAUCAGCGGCAUAUUGACGGUACCUUCAAAGGAAGCACCGGCUAACUCCGUGCCAGCAGCCGCGGUAAUACGGAGGGUGCGAGCGUUAAUCGGAAUUACUGGGCGUAAAGCGCACGUAGGCUGUAUGUCAAGUCAAGGGUGAAAUCCCACGGCUCAACCGUGGAACUGCCUUUGAAACUGGCAAAUCUGGAGUAUGUGAGAGGAUGGCGGAAUUCCUGGUGUAGGAGUGAAAUCCGUAGAUAUCAGGAGGAACAUCAGUGGCGAAGGCGGCCAUCUGGCACAUAACUGACGCUGAGGUGCGAAAGCGUGGGGUAGCAAACAGGAUUAGAUACC